AUGUGGAAAUUCCUGGGCUAGGGAUGGAACUCUGCCAUAGCAGUGACCUGAGCCACUGCAGUGACAACACCAGAUCUUUAAUGCAUGGAGCCACCAGAAUUGCUCCCAUUUCAUUUUUUGUUUAUCUGUUUUUUCUUUUUUGUUUGCCCUAUAGCAUAUGGCGUUCUCAGGUCAGGGAUUAGAUCUGAGCUGCAGUUGUGACCUACACCACAGCUAUGGCAACACCAGAUCCUUUAACCCACCGUGCUGGGUGGCGGAUUGAACCUACAUCCCAGUGCUGCAGAGAUGCCACUGAUCCCAUUGUGCCACAGAGAAUUGUUCCAUUUUUAAUAUGAAGAAAGUUAGAUUCUAAUUUUAUUUGUUUUAAAGACUACUUAGAGGUGAUAUUUAUGUGAUAGCAAGCUAGAGUGAGCCCUCUGGGCCAUAAGUGUUCUCUGAAACAUAUUGGCCCCUCAUCCCCACCCAACUCCCUGCCUAAUCUUUUAAAAAUGUAAAAACCAGUCUUUGGGUGUUUUUUUUUUUGUUUUUUUUGUUUUUUGUUUUUUUUUUUUGCCAUGCCUGCAACAGGCAGAAAUUACAGGACCAGGGAUUCAAGCUGCUGCAGUAACAAUGCUGGAUCCUUAACCCACUGAACCACAGGGGAACUCCUGGGAUAUUUAAACUCAAAGCCACACAGCCAGUAAGUAACAGAUGAAUUGGAUAUAGAGCUUUCUUUGUAAAGGAACUGAAACAGGGAAGGUAAUGAAGGAAGGAGGGAGGGAAGGGAGAGUGGAAAAGAGAAGAGAGAGAUUAGGGGGAGAAGAAAAGAGAGAAAAUAGCCCUGGAGUUAAGACCUGUCUUGCAGCUACGAUAUAGUUUUCUUGAUAUUCUCGUGGCUCAGUGGAUUAAGAAUCUGACUAGUAUCUAUGAGGAUGUGGGUUCCAUCCCUGGCCUCAAUUGGUGGGUUAAGGAUCUGGUGGUGUCAGGGCUGUGGUGUAGGCCAGCAGCUGCAGCUCCAAUUCGACCCCUAGCCUGGGAACUUCCCAUAUGCUGCAGGUGUGGCCCUAAAAAGAAAAAAAUACAUAUUAUUUUCUUUGAAGCAUAGUCAAUGGUGAGAGAAUUUGGCAUACACUAGCUUUUUCAAAAUUAGGAGUACAGAAGCAAAUCAACAGUUGCUUUGAAGGAACCAGUGGUUAAGGUAACCUAUUCCCAGGAGUUGCUUUGUGGUGAAGGGGGUUAAGGAUCAGCACUGUCACUGCAAUGUCUAUGGGAGCUGCUGUGGCAAGGGUUCAAUCCCUGGCCUGAGAACUUGCACAUAACUUGGGUGCAGCCGAAAAUAUAAUAAAAUAACCUAUUCCCGAUCAAGGGCUAUUGCCAGACACUUUAAUAUCACCUACCUCUUUUAGCUUUUUGGGGCAUGGCGAAAGAUGUCAUGCGCACUGUUAGCAUGGAAGAAGCUGUUUACAGCAGGGUACGUGUUACAUAGGCUCUCGCUCUGGAAGGUAAUGCAUAUUUUCACCACAAGGUGGCAGCCAAGCCCUUCCAAAUGGCCUCUUGGUGCCCCAAAGCCCAGGUUUAAGAAGUUCAUUGUAGAUUCCAGACACCUGAGCGCUAGGAGUAAGGUCUUGCUUCUGCAUGUGAUGGAUUUUUUUUCACCCUUGAUUUGAGGAAAAGUGGGAAAAUUAUUGUGGACAGUUUUCAGGUUUAAGUGUGGGAUUUCUUAGCAGCAGCCAAUUCCCAAACCUGGUGUAAUAUCUCCUAGUCAUCUUGUGCAAAGAGCAUUUGGCCCUGGGAAGAUGAUUCCAUGUGACAUAAGCUGUUAAGUGGAAUGUAUUCUCAUUGAUGUACAGAGGAAUUUUCUUGGGAUGACAAGAGAUCUAUUGUAGGGUCUAUAGAUAACUCAUAGUUCCUCAAUACUAUUUAGGAACUAAAUUCAUUCUUAUUUGGCUUUACAGGUUAUUGCAUAUGCAAUUGCUGUUAUCAUGUCAUUUGAAUAGCACCAAACUAUAAGUGAAGCAGUUCACUGAGGUCUAAAUGUCUGAGAAUGGUGCCAUGUUAAUUAAGGGGGGCUUUUCAGCACAAAGAGGUGUUGAAAUUAACCUGGGUCUUUACAGGGAUCUGAGAUAAUACAGUGCUCCAUGUAUUUGCUGUUAUUUAUUUUUCAUAAUCAUGAGCUGCAGAAUUUGGGGAUAUUUUUGCUGAAAGUGACCUUGAAUAUUCUUCAUGGCAUUGUUCAUUCCGCAGUGGGUUGUUAGUCAAACUGAAGUGCCUGUACCUGGUGGGAGAGAAGGUUCCUGGGAGAGGCAUGCUGUGUAUACCCAAGAAUUCAGGAGGCCCUAAUUCCUCAGCCUUGGCAGCACAGAAGUUGUGCAAUCACGGGUUCGUGGCUUAGCCUCAUGAAGCUUCAAUUUUCUUAUAAAUUGGUGGCAACAUGUAUUAGGCACUUAGGCACGGUAGAUUUAAGGAUAAAGUAGGAACAUAAAAUCACACUUGUUUAGGGCCUGGCCCACAGCAUAUGUUCAGUAAAUGCUAUUAUUAUACCAUGAAACCAUAGACUCAUAAAUACUUAAAGCUCUAGUACCUGGGGACUAUUUAAAUUCUAAUCUCCAGACCUCUCCCCAGACCAAGUUAAUCAGAAUUUCAGGGAUAUAAUCGUUGGCUGACUCUAUUGGGUCAAAUGUUCCCAGGUGUUCCAAUGCAUAGGCGUUGGGACCUGUGGCUGUAGGAGAGAGUGACAGCUGAUGGCAGCUGACAGGCCAUGAGGUCUAAGCCAGUACUUGUCAAAGUCUCUUCCACUGGGUAUCCUUAAGACGUUACAUUAAAAAAUGGUUUACUAGGGGGAGUUCCCAUUGUGGCAGAGCAGAAACAAAUCCAACUAGUAUCCAUGAGGACAUGACCUCCAGGACUUUGAUCCCUGACCUUGAUCAGUGGGUCAGGGAUUCGGUGUUGCUGUGAGCUGUGGUGUAGGUUACAGACACGGCUCAGAUCCCACCUUGCUGUGGCUGUGAUAUAGGCUGGCAGCUACAGCUCCCACAGGACCCCUAGCCUGAAAAAAAAAAGCCUCAAGCUAAGUAGAAUAGAGCGGUUUCUUGCAGGGUUUCUGCCCAUCUUUGAUAUGCUAAUGCACACUGUGAAUCUCUAAAAAGGAAGAGGUACUGGUCUUUUUCUCAGUGAGCAGAAGGACCAGAGUGCAGAAACGCCCUCUAGAAAGGCUGCCAUCAGUGCUGACCAGGGCUGUGUCCACCUUCUGGGUAAUGGGUACCAGGCAGUGCUUUGGACAUGAAGUUGCUCUGGCUGGUUGCAUCUUUUUUGUGAAUUAAAUCUACUGUGAUACCUGACCACAGUUGACUGGACCAGGAAUAUGGCUGAGCUGUGUUCUAUCCAACUGGGACGUUGUAAGAGAAACAGUAAAGAAAAGCCCCAAGCAGAGCCCUUUAGCCUGACAUCUGGACAUGAAAUGUACAGAGAAUGUCAAGGUUCCUGGAACCAAGACAUCAGAUCUGAGCUACUGGUGCUUCUUCUGUGUCAAGUUCAAUUAUGAGCUACUCUUCAGUUAUCCAAGAGGCCACUUGCACAUUCACAUCAUGCAAUGGAGUCCUUCUUCCUUCCAGUCCAAAAACCUAACUAACACAGCCAUGCCAGCACUCCAGCUCUGAUUAUGUCCGUGCUACACCAUAGCCCUGGAAGGACUCAGACCCAGGCCUUCUUAUUCCAAGUUUACUUAUUUUUAUUUUUGGCUGCAUCUGAGGCACAUGGAAGUUCCUGGGCCAGGGAUGGAACCUGUACCACAGAAAUGACAACACUGGAUCCUUAACCAGUUGGCCGUGAGAGAACUCCCAAUUAUUAUUAUUAUUGUUAUUAUUAUUAUUUUGGCCAUACCAGGCCAGGUAUCGAACCCAAGACACAUCAGUGAUAACGCUUAUUCCAAGUUUAUUGCCACCCAGCUAUCUUAACACUAUGUUGCCUAUCAAGUUUAGGUUACUCAACCAGCAGGACAAGUGGUGAAAAGUAAUGGCUGGGGAGUUCCCACGGUGGCAUAGUGGGUUAAGAGUCCAACUGCAGCAGCUUGGGUCGCUGUGGAGUCGUGGGUUCAAUCCCCAGCCUAGUGCAGUGGGUUAAAGGAUCCGGCAUGGCUGCAGCUGUGGUGUAAGUCGAAGCUGCAGCCCUAGCCUGAGAAUUUCCAAAUGCGUGGAUGUGGCCAUUAAAAAAAAAGCAAGUAAUAAUUGUUUUCAGAAAAUCAGCACAGUAAAUUGCAAGGCCACAAGUCUGUAGACGUACCUAUGGUCUUAGGUAGAAAUUGGAGCUGGCACAGGGUUAAGUACAUGUGCCAGAGAAAUCAGACCACUUUGCUAGGAGACAACUGGAUGAGGAAUCAUCAGGAGGAGAUGAAGUUAAAGGUGAAAGUUUCAAGUCCCAGAAGAAAACCCGCUCUUAAAGUGGAAUAGACACACACAUACAAGAAAAAAUUAUAACAUAGGAAGAUCCAUUUUCCGCACAGAAACACAAAGAGGUCUGCCAUGUUAGAAGUAAGAGGAGAGGCGUAAGAAUAAACUUUGCAUAUAGGAAUAAAAAGUGUAUAUAAAAAAAGUGGAACAGACAGUAAAUAAAGCCAAUGACUCCAGUGACGUAAGCAAGUAUUAGACACAUUGAACAGGCCAAAGGAAAGCAGGGGGAAGCCAGGAUUAAUACUGUAAAAAUUGCUGAAGGGGAGGUUGGGCAGGACAAUGGAAAAGCCGAUGAAACAAGUACACUCAAGGGCAGUAACCACUCUAGGCCCUAAGGCCGGCAGAAAACAGGGACAAGAGCAAGGAAGCAGUGAUUCACAGGAAGAGCAAUUCUACGCUGAUAGAAAAAUGUAAAUCCUCCAGAAAUACCUUGGUCUAUGUACCAUUUUUCAAAAAUGCAGCGAAUAUUCAGCACCUUUCAGGGAGAGAAUUUACACAAAAUGCUUUUAGAGAGUUUAUGGUUCACUUGGUGGAAAUGGGACUUGGACAUUUUCCUCCUCCGGUUCACAAAUAUGUCAAUACAUCUGCUUUCUUAUAAAAUUAAAAGUAGGAUGGGAGGGUGGAGUGUCCCAUGGGGCCAUCACCCAACCAAGACUUGGAGCAGAGACAGGAAGGGCUAGGUUCUGCCUGGCAGGUGUCUCUGUGCCAAUGAACUGCCUUUCAGAAACUGCCUUUCAGAAACUGCCUGGUAACACUAUCAUAUUUACUUUUUACUAGAUUAUAUGUUCUUGGAGAGCCUAGCGUUUGCAAUUCAAAUAGCAAUCUAUUGAAAAGAAGAGUUUUAUGGUGGCUGCUACUUGGUGCAGGCAAUACAUCUAGGGGACAAGGGAAUAAAAAUAAUAGGCAGAAAAUGCACCCCUUCUUUUAUGGCUU
ensembl:lncRNA